GACGAACGCUGGCGGCGUGCCUAACACAUGCAAGUCGAGCGGAGAACAGCUGAAAGGUAACUAGAUGUUGUUCUUAGCGGCGGACGGGUGAGUAACGCGUGGGCAACCUGCCCUAUACAGGGGGAUAACACUAAGAAAUUGGUGCUAAUACCGCAUACUGAAGCAUUAUCGCAUGAUAGAGCUUUUAAAGGAGAAAUCCGGUAUAGGAUGGGCCCGCGUCUGAUUAGCUAGUUGGUGAGGUAACGGCUCACCAAGGCUGCGAUCAGUAGCCGACCUGAGAGGGUGAUCGGCCACACUGGAACUGAGACACGGUCCAGACUCCUACGGGAGGCAGCAGUGGGGAAUAUUGCACAAUGGGGGAAACCCUGAUGCAGCAACGCCGCGUGGAGGAAGAAGGUCUUCGGAUUGUAAACUCCUGUCUUCUGGGACGAAUAAUGACGGUACCAGAGGAGGAAGCCACGGCUAACUACGUGCCAGCAGCCGCGGUAAUACGUAGGUGGCAAGCGUUGUCCGGAAUUAUUGGGCGUAAAGGGCGCGUAGGCGGCACUCUAAGUCAGAUGUGAAAUCCCGGGGCUUAACUCCGGACGUGCAUUUGAAACUGGAGAGCUCGAGUGCAGGAGAGGUAAGUGGAAUUCCUAGUGUAGCGGUGAAAUGCGUAGAUAUUAGGAGGAACACCAGUGGCGAAGGCGACUUACUGGACUGUAACUGACGCUGAGGCGCGAAAGCGUGGGGAGCAAACAGGAUUAGAUACCCUGGUAGUCCACGCUGUAAACGAUGGAUACUAGGUGUGGGAGGUAUCGACCCCUUCCGUGCCGCAGUAAACGCAAUAAGUAUCCCGCCUGGGGAGUACGGCCGCAAGGUUG
rnacentral:rRNA from 1 species